rnacentral:rRNA from 1 species
ACGAACGCUGGCGGCAUGCCUAACACCUGCAAGUCGAACGAGACCUUCGGGUCUAGUGGCGCACGGGUGCGUAACGCGUGGGAACCUGCCCUUAGGUUCGGAAUAACUCCCCGAAAGGGGUGCUAAUACCGGAUAAUGUCUUCGGACCAAAGAUUUAUCGCCUUUGGAUGGGCCCGCGUUGGAUUAGCUAGUUGGUAGGGUAAAAGCCUGCCAAGGCGACGAUCCAUAGCUGGUCUGAGAGGAUGAUCAGCCACACUGGGACUGAGACACGGCCCAGACUCCUACGGGAGGCAGCAGUGGGGAAUAUUGGACAAUGGGCGAAAGCCUGAUCCAGCAAUGCCGCGUGAGUGAUGAAGGCCUUAGGGUUGUAAAGCUCUUUUACCCGGGAUGAUAAUGACAGUACCGGGAGAAUAAGCUCCGGCUAACUCCGUG